rnacentral:lncRNA from 1 species
CUUCUUCUGAGGUGCUAAUUGAAGUAGAGUUGAGAAGAUCUACUAGAGAGGUAUUCUAGUACUGAGUAUGUGUUUCUUUAUGAUGGGAGAGAGCCAAAAUGUUUUCAGGAGGUUCUACAACAUGACCAGAAAAUGGAAUGGUUAAAAGCUAUACAAGAAAAGAUGAAAACCUUGCAUAAGAACCAAACUUAUGAUCUAAUGGAGUUGCCUAAAGACAAGAAAGCACUAAAGAACAAAUGGGUGUUCAGACUAAAGGUUGAACCAAAUAGUUUACAACCAAAGUACAAGGCAAGGUUAGUUGCGAAGGGGUUUGGUCAGAAGAAAGGUAUUGAUUUUGAAGAAAUCUUCUCUCUUGUGGUUAAAAUGUCUUCAAUCCGAGUUGUGUUAGGCUUGGCAGCUAGUAUGAAUUUGGAGAUUGAACAACUUGAUGUGAAGAUCGUUUUCCUCCAUGGUGACCUUUAAGAGAAAAUAUACAUGAAGCAACCAGAAGGAUUUAUAGCUAAAGACAAAGAAAAUCUUGUAUGACAGUUGUAGAAAAGCUUAUAUGGUCUCAAACAGGCACCAAGAUAAUAGUAUAAGAAAUUUCAUAAAUGGUUGAUGAUGGAUAUACCAGAACGAGUUCUGAUCAUUGUGUGUUCAUAAAGAAGUUCUCUGAUGGGGAAUUUAUUAUUCUUUUGCUCUGACGACAUGUUGAUUUUUAGUUGUAACACUGAAAAAAUUAAGAAGCUGAAAAAGGAGUUGAGCAAGUCUUUUAAGAUGACGGACUUGGGACCUGCAAAUCAAAUUCUCGGUAUAAAAGUCUCUAGUGACAGGAAGAAUGGAAAAUUACGGCUAUCACAGGAAGGUUAUAUCGAAAAGCUAUUACAUAUGUUCAAUAUGGACAAGGCAACAUCAGUAAACUCUCCACUUGCAAGUUAUUGGAAACUAAGUUCAACGCAAAGUCCUUCAAGUGAGAAAGAAAAUGAAGAAAUGAAGAAUGUGCCCUAUGCAUCAGCUAUGGAUAGUCUAAUGUAUUUCAUGGUAUGCACAAGGCCAAAAGUUGUUCAUUUGUUGGAGUUGUCAGUAGAUUUCUCUCUAAUCCUAGAAAGGAACACUGGAUAGCAGUGAAGUAGAUUCUCAGGUAUCUCAGAGGGACUUCUAAGAUAUGUUUAUCUUUUGGCACUAGCAAACAUGAACUUGUUGGGUUCAUAGAUGCAGAUAUGGCUGGUGAUGUUAACUCUAGAAAGUCUAAUUCUGGGUAUUUAAUUAUUUUUUCAAGGGGAGCAGUCUCGUGGCAAUCAAGACUACAGAAAUGUGUUGCUCUAUCUACCAUAGAGGUUGAAUGUAUAGCCAUCACUGAAGCUAGCAAGGAGUUGCUAUGGAUGAAGAAGUUUUUACAAGAACUGAGCUUAGAGCAAGAGAAGUAUAUACUCUAUUGUGACAGUCAAAGUGUUGUUCAUCUCAAUAAGAAUUCAACCUUCCACUUAAGAUCCAAACAUAUUGAAGUCGGGUAUCAUUAGAUUUGAGAUGCUCUAGAGAUGAAGAAGUUACAGUUUGAGAAAAUCCAUACUGAUGAGAAUGGUUCAUAUAUGAUGACAAAGCCAUUGCCAUGGAGAAACUACAUGUAUGUAGAAGGGAAGCGGACAUGGUGAAGUCCCUCACGCAGUCAGAAGGAGGAGAUUUGUUGGGUGUUCUUUCCACGUGAGGAAAGUUAUUUUGUGGGAGAAGUGGGGUCACUUUCUACUUUCUCCCAAGUCAAUUUAAAAAGUCUCAAAUGUAAAGACAAAAAUAGAGAUACACGCACACAGAGAGAGAGAGAGAG